CCCCCACUCCAACCCCCAGGGCUGCGGGCGGCUCCCGGGUUUCGCUGGAGCACACGCAUUUGCGCAGAAUGUGGUUCCCAGGCUCUCGGUCAAGAACUGAGAUGGGCAAAGUUGGCUGGCGGCUCCCGCUGCCCGGCCCCCCUCGAGCCCGGCCCGUCCGCGUCCGGAAAGCGCGGCGCUCGCAGAAGGGCGAAGGGGCUGCGCUCUCCGCUUUUCUUCUCACUUUCACCGUGAUUGUACCCUUGACGUUGAGCACCCGUUAACGCGCAGCGGGACUUACUGUUUUAGAGAAGCAAACGAGGGCGGAAAGGGGGACUGAGAGGGAGAGAGGCGAGGAGGAGGCAAGAGAACAGGGGUGCGAGUUGGCGCGGGCGGCCUGGGGAUGGAGGAGCCUUUGGGCUGAAUUGCCUGUUUGAUCUCGUCCGCGCAGCGCAGAGGUAGGCCGCUGGAAAGACUCGGUGGCCUGGACAACAGGGUCCGAGGGGAAGAAGGUGUAUUUCUGUUGCUGGACAUGAUGGCCACACAAUCUUGCUUCCCACUUUCCUGUCUACAGGCUCAGUAGAUCCAGAUCGUGUGAGUCUCUUUUAUUCCCGUUUUGCACGUGAGGCCACGAAGGCCGGGAUAGACCAGGAUCGCACACGUCUUGGGGGCCUACUCCGGACUCAAACCUACGUCUCUGUGACUCCAAAACCCAAAUUAUACUAUGACCUAGUAUUUGCUGGUGUAAGACGAAUGCUUCCGCUUUAGCGCAGAUGCAAGCGCCACCUUAUUUGGAGGCCAGGCAGGUAGAUCUGCAGCUGUAAAACCCGAGGCCCCGAGGCGGGCUUGCGCAGCUCCCCUGGCUCUCCGUCCACGUCCACAUCUCUGCUGUCCGCUGCUCCUAGAGCACCUUUCGACUCUUGAAAACAGGAACUGCCAGUUAAAAAGAAUACUACCUAUUUUAUUGAGCCUGAAGGGUUGAGGACAUCACGGACCAGAGACUUUGACCAGCCAGAAAAAGAGAGGUGACAGCAACUGAGAUGAAAGGGUCCUGAAAUCACAUCGCAUCCCUGCGCCCAACUCUGCGGAGCGAGGCCCUGUCAAGGCUCUGGGUCUCCUGGCGACCUCUCAAACCUCAUUUCCCACCCCCGCCCCCUGACUGUCUGCCCUCCAGCGUCCCCGACCUCCUUGGUCCUCUGCAGACAUCGAGGAUGUGUCAUUGCAGGGCCUUGGCUCCCCUCCCCCCAUUUCAAAUGGCUCAUCCCUCAAUCCAGUCGGGUCUCGGCUCAGAUGUCACCUCCUCAUCGGGGCUCCCUUGCCUCCUGACCUAGAGCAGCACGCCCCUUUCCGAGUCUCUGAGCUUGCCUUUCCUUCAGUGUUUUUAUUAUUCUCUGACCCGACAUUCUCCGUUCACGUGUUCAAUUGUUUAUUCUCUGUCUUCUGAAAUAGAGGACGAGGCCCGGAGGGAUGGGACUUUGUCUGCUGCCCUCUCGCAUCCCAACUGGUACACCUCAGUGAACAAUUUGUAAUGGACACAGUGAAUACAGCAAGGCCCUACUGCAAACCCGCGGAUGCAAAGCCUCUGAGAACCUCUCAGACACAGAAGGGGCCACGAGGCUUUUCCCACGUGGCCAGGCUGGAGCAAUGAGUGGGUGCCGGGGAGAGAGCUUCGGGAAUCUCAGGCUCUGGGUAAAGAACUCUUUCCCGGGAUUCCUGCUGUGGCACGACAGGUCUAGUGGCAUCUCUGGAGCAGGUUUGAUCCCCGGCCUGACACAGUGGGUUAAGGAUUCCUCAUUGCCGCAGCUGUGGCGUAGGUGGCAACUGGGAUCUGAUCCCUGGCCCAGGAACUCCAUAUGUUGCAGGGCAGCAAAAAUAAAUAAAUAAAUAAAUACACGAAAAGGAACUUUCCCAAGAGCUGGAAAGGGUGGGGCUCUGUGCCUGUUUCCUGGGGGCUGAGGAGGCCACCUGGCAGGGAUAUUGUUCGGAAGUUGAAUUUGCCCGCAUCAAAGACUUUUCUUCCAUUUCAAAAUUUUGUGAGAUGGUCACAGGUCAGCCCACCUCUGUCUCGUGAAAACCAUUCUGAGUUUAGUCUUCUGGAAUAGUUUUCAUAUGUGAACACAUCUCCAGUGUCUUGCCUGUGACCAUGGGGCUCGAUUUGUAGAAACGAUGCCUGUUUUCUGAAACAUGGAAGGGAAUAUAUGUGAUUCAGAAGAGAAAGGCUUUGAUUUCAUGGGAAAUGUGUGUCCUUCUCCGAGAGCCUCCUAAGAAUGAGCCCAGUGUCCGUAGUGUUUCUCCUUCCCCUGUCCGAGGUGCUUACCACCCUUAUAAAUAAUCAUAAAUGUUGCUUCCGGAGGCUCUUUCUAAAUAAGACGUGGCGUCUGUCCCAAGGAGAAUGAUGUUAGCACUCAACGGCUGAGAAAGGAAGUGAAUUAUCCCUUUGAAACUACCAGGGCACUUGAGGUGGUCAGGAAUUAUCCUGGUAUAGACAGACAGACAGACAAAAGGGUAAACAAGACUCUGGUAUG